GUGAGGAAUAUUGGUCAAUGGGCGAGAGCCUGAACCAGCCAUCCCGCGUGCAGGAAGACGGCCCUAUGGGUUGUAAACUGCUUUUUUAUGGGAAGAAAAAAGCCUACGAGUAGGUAACUGACGGUACCAUAAGAAUAAGCAUCGGCUAACUCCGUGCCAGCAGCCGCGGUAAUACGGAGGAUGCGAGCGUUAUCCGGAUUUAUUAGGUUUAAAGGGUGUGUAGGCGGAAGAUUAAGUCAGUGGUGAAAUCUCACAGCUUAACUGUGAAACUGCCAUUGAUACUGGUUUUCUUGAGUACAGUUGAAGUAGGCGGAAUGUGUAAUGUAGCGGUGAAAUGCUUAGAUAUUACACAGAACACCGAUUGCGAAGGCAGCUUACUAAGCUGUUACUGACGCUGAUGCACGAAAGCGUGGGGAGCGAACAGGAUUAGAAACCCUUGUAGUCC
rnacentral:rRNA from 1 species